ACUUGCCCAUGUGCCACGGAGCGGGAUUGAACCCGGAAGGAUAUUGUUGCUAAGCAAGAACUUAUAACGCAGCCACCAUACAUAGACACGUACACACGCACCAACAAGUUAGUAUCGCCAUCUAUAGGAGAAUUAAAGAAAUACAAUCGUACGAAGGGAAGUAACUUCUACAACACAACUUCCCUUAAUUUAUUAAUUAGUGCAUUUAAUUAGCGAUCAUUGGACUCGUAUUUUAUAUCCGAAUACGAAUAUCCCACCUUGUUGAUGUCAAAGAAAUUUCUUCAUUGAGAUCUACCUUUGAUAGUUUUAUCAACUUUCAUCAACUAAAGGAAGACGAUAUAUUUAUAAGGAGCCUUCAUCAAUACAUCAAUCUCUUUAUAUAAAUAAUAUCCAUGA